rnacentral:lncRNA from 1 species
UUUUGGCAGAAAGAUGACAGAAGAUCCUCAGAACUUCCAUGGUUCCAGGAUGUGGCACAAGGUGGGAGAAACCCAGGCAGAGCCCAGUGGUCUUCCUGAGAUGAGGUUGGAAGGCCAAAGCAUCUAGACUCCACAAAGAGAACAGAGACGAAGCUGCACAGGAAUAGAGCUCUGGAGAGCUGCAGAAGGUUCACCACCAACCCACCCAAGACUUUAGUGCUGAUGAUCAGUGCACACAUAUGAGGAAACUACCAGACACUGAGGAAAGAAUCACCCAAAAGAAAUGGGGGGGAAAUCCCAGGAUCAGCUGACAUU